CAGCAGCCUCUGCAGCUGCUCAGGGGGUCAGAUGUACAUCACAUGACCACUGUCAGGUGGUACAGCAAGUGACAGUUGAAAAGUGAGCAGCAGUUGGGCAGGGGGGCCCUGAGGUAAAUGCUGUGGGAGACUGACUGUGCUGUGAGGGGACAGCUGGCAGUGCCUGUGAGUGAGAGCAGAGUUUGAGCUGUGACCCUCUCAGGAGUCCUGGUGACGUCGGGCGUAAGGUGUCACUGAUCCGCCCCAGAGGGCAAGUAGAUGUAGAGCCCAUCGACCGAGGUCCAGUACGGAGGAAUGGCCUGCUCCAGAUUGAUAGCCGCAGGCUGAGAGAGGCAGAUUGUGAGGCGGAUCCACUCGCCAUAUAAGGCUGCAGGAGGCCAGUUACAGCCGAGACAACUGGAGAGAUAUUUACACAAAAAGAUACUUGGGGCUACUAAUACGUGAGCAAGCCACAUGAAGCUACCAGUGGGAGAAGCAGCUGGUCCUGAGAUCUACACCUACAGUCCUGAGUGUUUGUUCCUGUGACAGUACACCGAUAAGCAAUAAUACCCAGUUUUCUAUUUUUUUAAGCAAACCACAAAAUCCAUUUCAAGGGGAAAUCACUAAUCAAUCUCACUGGCUAAGGGUUACCGGCUAUGUGUCUUUUACUGUGGAAUAAAAAUUAUGUUUUUAUAAAAAACGUGCCUGAA